UGGUGGUGGAGGAGAAGGUGGUGGCGGAGAUGGAACUAACGGUGGAGGUGAGAAGACCGGUGGUGGCGGAGAAGCCACUACAGGUGGCGGUGAUGGUGCAACGACCGGUGGUGGUGACGGCGUAACGAGCGGAGGUGGUGAUGGGUUUACUAUUGGAGGUGAAGGAAUGAGAGGUGGUGGAGACGGGAUAACUGGUGGCCGUAUAACCGCUGGUGGAGGAGAUGGUACAAUCGGAGGACGGUAUGGCGGAG
rnacentral:misc_RNA from 1 species